rnacentral:rRNA from 1 species
CCUACGGGUGGCUGCAGUGAGGAAUAUUGGUCAAUGGACGAGAGUCUGAACCAGCCAAGUAGCGUGAAGGAUGACUGCCCUAUGGGUUGUAAACUUCUGGUAUAGGGGAAUAAAAUGUGCCACGUGUGGGAUUUUGUAUGUACCAUAUGAAUAAGGAGCGGCUAACUCCGUGCCAGCAGCCGCGGUAAUACGGAGGAUCCGAGCGUUAUCCGGAUUUAUUGGGUUUAAAGGGAGCGUAGGUGGAUUGUUAAGUCAGUUGUGAAAGUGUGCGGCUCAACCGUAAAAUUGCAGUUGAAACUGGCAGUCUUGCGUACAGUAGCGGUGGGCGGCAUUCGUGUUGUAGCGG